rnacentral:misc_RNA from 1 species
GAAAUGCGAAAAGUAAUGCGAAUUGCAGAAUUCAGCGAGUCAUCGAGUUUUUGAACGCACCUUGCGCUCCUUGGUAUUCCUUGGAGCAUGCCUGUUUGAGUAUCAUGAAAUCUUCAAAGUAAAUCUUUUGUUAACUCAAUUGGUUUCUACUUUGGUAUUGGAGGUCUUUGCAGCUUCACACCUGCUCCUCUUUGUUCAUUAGCUGGAUCUCAGUGUUAUGCUUGGUUCCACUCGGCGUGAUAAGUUAUCUAUCGCUGAGGACACUGUAAAAGGUGGCCAAGGUAAAUGCAGAUGAACCGCUUCUAAUAGUCCAUUGACUUGGACAAUACUUUUAUGAUCUGAUCUCAAAUCAGGUAGGACUACCCGCUGAACUUAAGC